GGGGCAAAUUUGUUCUCUGCACGGGAAACAUGUGGGCCCUUGUCAGGUGCUGCAUCAGAGUGAGUUGCCCUCCACCAGCUUCCUAGAUCUGGCCGUGUGAGGAGGCAGAAGGAGCCCUCUGAGACUUUGGGCCCUAGAGUAAAUUGGAGUCUCCCUGGAGUAUUGCAAAGCCGGGUUUGGAAAUCUCAGAUGAAGAGAAUGUUGGGCAAUGGAUGAUGGAGAAAAAGGAGAAACAAAGAGAAAGAGAGAUGGCUGGAGACAGAGACAAGGAGAGUCAGAAAGCGACAGAAAAAUGAUUCUUCAAGGCGAAUGACUCGAAAUGGAGAUUUCUUCUAACACCGCGUGAUCACCGACAACUUUUGCAGGACGGGAUGAAACUCCUCUGGGUUUCCAGUCAGAUGUGCGAGUGGGCUCUCUUUAAAUUAUAAACCUGCAGUCUAACAGAGCCUUCAAGGUUAUGGCCAUGAGAAAUGUGAGUGGAGAUAAAACCUCACAUCUUGAGGAUUAACAAGGAGAAUUUUUUAGUAGCAAAAUUAUAUUCUCUUUCAUCCCACAUAAAAAAGAGUUGUAAGUU
rnacentral:lncRNA from 1 species